rnacentral:rRNA from 1 species
CCCUUAGAUGUUCUGGGCCGCACGCGCGCUACACUGAUCAGUGCAACAAGCAUCCGUCCUUGGCCGACAGGCCCGGGCAAUCUUUGAACGCUGAUCGUGAUGGGGAUAGACUUUUGCAAUUUUUGGUCUUCAACGAGGAAUUCCUAGUAAACGCAAGUCAUCAACUUGCAUUGAUUACGUCCCUGCCCUUUGUACACACCGCCCGUCGCACCUACCGAUUGAAUGGUCCGGUGAAAUCCUCGGAUCGAGCCGUGGGGCAACUCCGGUUCGAGAAGUUGAUUAAACCUUACCAUUUAGAGGAAGGUGAANUCGUAACA